CGGCAGACAUAUGGAGUGCUGAAGACUUUAGCCACAGAAUUGUUAAGAGAAUAAAAUUGAAAUUUGAUAUAAUUCGAGUCUGGCAACAGGUGUUGGCAGAGAUUUUCACAAAAAUUCAACCAUGGUGUAGAACAAGGAGGGAAGAUGAGAUGCUACUAGUCUAAGCAAAAAAGAAUACCAUGAUUUUCUGAAACAUUUGAUUG
rnacentral:misc_RNA from 1 species